CCUUUCUUUCUCUCCUCACACGUGGCUCUCUUCCCUCCGCCACCACCCUUCCUCCCUUCCUCCUGGCUCUCUCCCCUCCGUCGCCCUUGUGCGCGCGACCACUGCAGGUACCCCAUACGCGAGGGCGGAGCCCGCUCGGGGACACAGACGAGCACCUUCUGACGUCGCUCGUCACCGAGGCGCCCGCCACGUUGUUGGAGGCAACACAAGAGGAGGAGGAGUACGCGGCUGUGGAGGAGGUCCGUCCAAGGACGCGAGGGCCCAUCGGCGACCAACAGCCGACGACCCAUCUUCCCCAACCCUGCGGGCGAAGUCACUUUCCCCAUCCCUACCGCCGACCUCGUCUCCCCAACCCCGGCCUCAGAUCCACCCAAUCGAGCAUGUCAGGCUGCGGUGUCAUGGAGAUGAAGCUCCUUUUUCUCCACAACCAACUACUGACGGCCUCGAUUCACCCCAAACCCCUCCUCCUCCUUCCGGCCCCUACUAGUCGCCUGCCGCAACGCCGCUUCCUCCCUCCCUCGUCACGCUCGGAACCCUAGCCCGCGGGUGUCCAUGGCGACCGAGUUCCUCCCCAAGGAUUCGCAUCACCCGCUCCGCCCCAAGAACAGGAGCGUCGACAAGGUUUGCUCCUAUCCCGUCCGGUGAAUGAGCAAGCCAUGAAGAAGCAGUUGCUGACGGCAGAGGAGGCUCAAGGUUCAAUUCAGUCUCGUGUGGCUGCUCCAGCCGACGCCCACGCUGUGGAUUGGAAGGUUGUAUGUUGUGCUGGUGAUGUUUUUUUGUUGCUGGGGUCAUUUGAACCUGGAUGUCAUGUGUUAUGUUAUGUGAUCUGGGCCAUAUGGCAUAGUGUAAUCUUUUAUUACUGUUUUUUCGUAUGAUGUCAUGAAGAUAUACGUUUGAAAUGCUUCUUUGACAACAAAAUUUUAUUCCUCGAUACAUGCUGCUUUGAUAGUAAAAUAAUGAAAAAUUCUAAACAAUAUAUAUGGGUUAAAUAUCUGUUUUCCAAAAUUUUGUUCUUAAACUUGUAUUGCGCUUGAAAAGCCUAGCUAACAAGAAUAAUUCUAUUGAAAUUUAUAAAAAAACAAAUUGAGAAGGCCAACGAGAAAGAAAAUCAAAAGGCCAACCAAAAAAGAAAUUUACUAGAAAAAUUAAAGGUCCCAAAAAAGAGAAGGGCUGUAAAAUUGGGCUUGGCCCAUUAAGUUGACCACAGAAAAAACAUAAAUUUGUUGAAUUAUUGGGCUCGGCCCAUAUAGACAGGUAGACUGGACCGGGCUGAUUCUAACCAAUGACCUUUUUGUUCGGUCAAAAUUUUGCCAAGCCAGCUUGCCACGUCGGAUCCGACGUGGUGUGGGCAGAUUGCGAGUGAUCAAAACAAUUGGUCGUAGAAACAACAACCUUUCAUUUUGGUCAUUAAGUUUCAUUGAAGACGACCAACUUUUGACCAAUUGUUUUUGGUCAUAAAAAGGUCGCAAAUGAAAAACAACGACCUUUUAGCAACCAAUAUGUAAGGUCGCAAGUUAGCAUAUUUCUUUUAGUGCCUGUAGUUAAACGCGCCUGGUUAUUUUCAGCACUGCACACUAUGUGAUGUGCAAGUAUCAAUUGUCCAGCUGAAUUUCACAAAUAGAAGCUACAAACUUACAAAACCUGACUUUUACUUGUUGUUAAUCCACUUGUGAUUGACAGUUGUAUUCAUUUUUUUAAUUUGUUCCUUUGCUAUGGUCCUACUCUCCUUAAUGAAGAUAUACCAUAGAUGAUGCCGUUUUAUUUCUAUUUGCUAUUUUUGGUGGAUGCUAACCCUAUUGUAGUUAACAUGCCUUUUCAUGUACUAACACAGGGCCAUAACGGGCGAUGCUGUUGUUUGCCGUUGAGGUACACAUGUCAGCGGCACUAAGCCCCGCUCCGACCUGGAGGAACACCUUGCCUCCGCUGCGACCGACUUGGGCUGGGCUCUUGCCAAUAUGAAGUGCCCCGACAACCGACCCUCAGGACUUAUCAAGUAUGAACUGACUAGUUGAAUCUUACCAAUACCAGUUGCAAGGGUCAUAUUUGUACAGUUGAUGUAUUAAGCAUGUUAUAAUAAACAUCGCCAAACCCGUCUUAUCUAUUUCCCAACCUUUUUAUAGACAACAGGGCAAUUCUCUGCUCUAGGGGAACCUGCCUUUUGAUGUUUAACUCUGUAAAAUUUCAUUUCUAUCAGUAGUUCAGUACUAGUUUCAAUGGCUAUACGAUUGUGUGUAGUGAAACAUGCAUGUUGCAGUACACAAUUCUAUCCAUUUUGUAGUCCGCCGCUUUGCUAUCAUGCUACUCUUCCUUAAUGAAGAUAUCACUACAUAUGUUGUUUUAUUACCAUUUGCUAUUUUUGGUGGAUGUUAACCCUGUUGUAGUUAACAUUGCCUUGCAAUGUACUUACGCAGGGCUAUGAUGGGUGAUGCUAUUGUUUGCCAUCGAAUUUAGCUACAUCCCAUGUCUUAUACACCAUCUGUUCAUAAAUAUAAGUAUUUUUAGAAAUUCCAAUAUAGAAUACAUACGGAGAGAAAUGAGUGAAUCUACAUUGUAAUCUAAACUAUCUCUACAUACAUCUGUAUGUAGUUCAUGUAAAAUCUCUAAAAAUACUUGUACUUAUGAACAUAGGUAGUUGUAUGUUACACAAUUUUUUGCAACCGCAGUUUAGCUUCUAACAUUUACUUUUUGCCUACAGGUACAUAUGUCAGCGGUACUGAGCCAUGAGCUUCUAACAUUUACUUUUUGCCUACAGGUACAUAUGUCAGCGGUACUGAGCCAUGCUUCGAUCUCUUUUGUGUAUGGGGCAAUGAGAUAUUCAUGAACAAGAGUAAUGUGAGGAAACUAAGAAAGAUUGUUAGGCGAAAGAGAUGGGUGAUUGGAAUUAAGCUAUUUAUUUACACUUUGUGAUGUGGUUUUCGAAGCUGAUGAUUACCUUGCGAACUAUAUGAUUGGAGUAGAGGCAACUAAGGUUAAAGUAUACAAUUCAUUCUACCAUGAUAAUGGUAUAUAAGUCUUCUUGAAGGCGGUGAAGGAUGGGUGGGCGAUCGUCACAAGGGGUUGGACAAGAGUUGUUCGUGCCUAUGGCAUGCAGGAGGGCGCAUUAUGGGCAGUCCGCUUUUUCAACACCAUCUGCAGCCAAAAUGAUUUACAUUUGUAUCUUCACCUUUACCGCAUAUAAAUAUUGUGGUUCAUCAUUGUUAAUUUUUGCCUAAUCGUGUAAUUACUGAACAUAUUGUACUGAGAAUUUUAUUUGUGGAUUGGUUGUUAGAGCUAUUAUGCUGAGAAUUUGAA